UAUAUAUAUAGAAUUAAUUAGAAACAAAGCUCCCAUAUUUACCUUGUGUUUUAUUUCAAAUUCCCUUCUGUAUAUUCAUGCCCCCAUGUACUUGAGAAUGUAUGAAUAUCCCUUGGAUUCUUUCUCUCAUACUCUUUACAUUUAUCCAACUUCUUUGGCCACUAAUAUUCAAAAUUCAAAUUUUUGCAACAGAUGGGCUCCUGUCCUAGCUGAACUCUUUUUAAAACCAGUUUAACCUUUAUCUCUCUUUAGUUUUGUGGAAACAUGCAACAGUACUCUUACCAAAAAAAAAACAAGUUGCCUAACUUAUCACACUGAAAAUUGUUUCUUUUACUAUCUUUAUUCAGAAUUUUUGAAAAGCUGAUCCAGAUUCAACAAAAGACCAAUUCCUUGUCAUGCACCAUUAUUUUUCAUCCUUCAGAAUUUCAGUGAAAGUUGUUUUUCUUAGCUCUUGCGAUAUGUCUGAUAUGAAACCUUUCUACUAAUGAUUUCCAUUCAUCAUGACAUAACCUCUAUGUGAUUGCUCAUCCUGCUAGAAAUAGUACCCAAAUAUCCCACAAAAUAACACUCUACAGCAUAAAAAAGGGAUGACAUUGGAUAAUAUCUCAAAGAGUUGGUAAUAUUGCAAUUCCUUUAAUCAUAUGUCUGAUUAAUUGCAGUUAUCUGGGGCUAAAAUACAAAUGAUUGGUUUCUCCAUUAUAUCAUACUAGCUGAGAUACCUGGCAUUGCUCAAGAUUAAAAUGGCAUAAAUUUUAUUCGUUUACUUGUUUCAGUCAUUUGACUGGCCAUGCUGGAGCACCGCCUUUUGUCAAAGAGAGGGAGGGAAGGAAGGAAAGACAGACAAAAAGAGAGAAACUAUUACAGAGGGUGAGAGAGAAUAUGUGUUAGCAAGAGAAACAGAAUGAGAGCAAGGGAGAGAAUCGGUUGAAAACAACAGUUUUUAGAGAAAAUCCCGUAAAAUACACCUUUUUUUCCGUUUCUCACUUUAUGCAGGAGCUCUGGGCCAGAAAUUACAAUGCAUGACCAUCCUUGGCACAUAAGUAAUGUUUGAAAAUCAGUUGAAAACUAGAGAUAUUGCACACAUAGACAUCCUUUAUUUUAUAUAUAUAGAUUGACAGGGCUUGCCUCAUUGCCUGAUCAACUCGUAACUUAAGGCUCUGGUUCUUCAUCCAACCCUUCUGUAUUCUUAUUAGUAACAAACCUAUUGUUGUAGAUACACACACAUAAAUGCCAUACCAUUUCAAAACACUCCUUCACUAUCUGCAUACAGGUAUUCCAUUUUCAAUACCUUUGACUUGUACACCAUCCUUGAUAACCUAAUUUCAUACAAGCCAGUGAGGGAACCUCAACACUGUCACUUGGCCAGUAAGAAAUAAUAGCCAAAUCUUUCUUAACUUAAAAAGCUGAGGAGAUCUUAUUAAAAGAUUGAAACAUGACAAUUGUUUUUAUCAGUUGACUUUGUAAACAAGAUUUACUCCUAUCUACACGGUCUUUGUUUUCCAUAAAUUUUGCUUAGUAUUAUUAGCACCAUCUACCUCUUGACAUUUUUAUAUUUUAAGCAUCCUUAGAGGGAUUUUUUUUGUCUAUUAACUGCAUAGAUAAUGUCAGUUCAUCAAAGUUUACCAAUUCAUUAUAUAUGAGAACAGUGUGUUUAGUAUGCAGAAUAUGCCCUUCAGGUGUAAGGGUAAAGACCCUCUUUGGUCAUAACUGACCAUGAGAUUGCACCUAGACAGUUUCCCUCCAAGGCACAAGUCUGGACAAGGUUGUUAGUGGAAGACCAGCAGUUGCCCAUGCAUACCAGUCAACCCUCUCCAUGCCACUGAUGUCCAAGGGAAAGGCAAGUGCCAAUACAGUUUGGUGCCAGUGACAUUGCAUCUCAUUUCUACAGCUGAGUCAACUGGAGCAACAUGAAAUAAAGUAUCUUGCUCAAGAACACAACACAGCCUUGUUCAGGAAUCGGACUCACAAACUCAAGAUUGUAAGCUCAAUGCUCGAACCAUCGAGCCGUGUACUUUCCAUUGAGGUGUUGCCUUUUUAUUAGCAUUAUCCUUAUCUCCUAUGCUUGAAGGUCCUGGAAAGGCUAUGAUCAGGCACUACUCUGCUUCCUCAAACUAAUCAAUAAAAACAAUGGAAAACAAAAUCUGCCUGUCUUCUCUAAAACAAAUCAAUUUUAAGUUUUGAAACUCACCUAUUCAUGGGAAUACGUGCCAAGAUGGAUUCAUCUGAUUUAAGCUAGAAAUGCAAAAGAAUACAAAGAGUAUUACUCUUCAGUUAACAGCCAAAUGAACACUUUAUUUUUUUCAAAGAUCUUAAUUUUAACAUAAAAAAAAAUAUGUUGUUGCAGAUUAGACUGUGAUGUACUGUAAGCAAGGCUGAUGCCAGAAUAUUCAAUGUCCAAGGCCAGUUCUGCAGCCCAGCCCUGUAUGACUCCUUUUCCCAAUACUUUAACAUUCAGAUUACUCUGUCAGUCAUUGGUCUGCAUUCAUGCUGGUUUACCACCUUGAAGGGUUUACUUGAUAAAAAGUUUGGUACAUAUUCUGUUAGGAUUUUAAAUUUUUUUUGCCAAACUGUUAAGUUACAGGGGAAUAAACACCAAUGGAGAGUGCAAACACAAAAACGUACUCAUACACACACACACACACACACAUAUGUAUGUGUACGUAUAUAUAUAUAUAUCCGAGUUUGUAUGAUUAUGUAUAGAAGAAUAUAUUAUAUACAGUCAUCAAUUGUGGAACACGACUCAUUACAUGAACUUGUUGAUGGCAUAAUGCAUGAAAGUACUAGUUUAUUUCAAUAUUGUAAAAAUUGUAAAUAAUAAAAGGUGAAAAUCA
rnacentral:lncRNA from 1 species